rnacentral:rRNA from 1 species
GCGGACGGGUGAGUAACACGUGGGUAACCUGCCCUAAAGUGGGGGAUAACAUUUGGAAACAGAUGCUAAUACCGCAUAAAACCUAACACCGCAUGGUGUAGGGUUGAAAGAUGGUUUCGGCUAUCACUUUAGGAUGGACCCGCGGUGCAUUAGUUAGUUGGUGAGGUAAAGGCUCACCAAGACCGUGAUGCAUAGCCGACCUGAGAGGGUAAUCGGCCACACUGGGACUGAGACACGGCCCAGACUCCUACGGGAGGCAGCAGUAGGGAAUCUUCCACAAUGGACGAAAGUCUGAUGGAGCAACGCCGCGUGAGUGAAGAAGGUUUUCGGAUCGUAAAACUCUGUUGUUGGAGAAGAAUGUAUCUGAUAGUAACUGAUCAGGUAGUGACGGUAUCCAACCA